UCGCGAUUUCGAUUCCUCCCU
rnacentral:miRNA from 1 species